rnacentral:rRNA from 1 species
UUCAACAGGGGUGAAAUCUGUAUACACCAUGAAUUUUUUGAUUAAAGUACCUUUUAGGUGGUCAAAUGACUAGGAUUAGAUACCCUAUUAGUCCACUCUUAAUUAACCUGGGUAGUAGUAUUGAAACCUAAAGAAUUUGGCGGUUUCUAAACCUACUAGAGGAACCUGCCCCAUAAACGACAAUCCACGAAAAAAUUCACCCGGGCUAGUUAUGCAGCUUAUAUACCGUCGUUCAGAGGACUAAAUAAAUAGAUCCUCUUAAAAGCUUAGGCUGAUAAAUCAGAUCAAGGUGUAGCUUAUGCCCGGGAGAGGGUGGGUUACAAUGAAAAUUCAUACGGAACUUCUAUUUUAUGAUAGAAAAGAAGGUGGAUUUAGAAGUAAGACUUAAUAUACUGAAAAAGGCUCUCAGAAAUGUACAC